GACGAACGCUGGCGGCGUGCCUAAUGCAUGCAAGUAGAACGCUGAAGGAGGAGCUUGCUCUUCUGGAUGAGUUGCGAACGGGUGAGUAACGCGUAGGUAACCUGCCUGGUAGCGGGGGAUAACUAUUGGAAACGAUAGCUAAUACCGCAUAAGAGUAGAUGUUGCAUGACAUUUACUUAAAAGGUGCAAUUGCAUCACGACCAGAUGGACCUGCGUUGUAUUAGCUAGUUGGUGGGGUAACGGCUUACCAAGGCGACGGUACAUAGCCGACCUGAGAGGGUGGUCGGCCAACCUGGGAAUGAGACACGGCCCAGACUCCUACGGGAGGCAGCCGUAGGGGAUCUUCGGCAAUGGACGGAAGUCUGACCGAACAACGCCGCGUGAGUGGAGAAGGUUUUCGGAUCGUAAAGCUCUGUUGUAAGAGAAGAACGAGUGUGAGAGUGGAAAGUUCACACUGUGACGGUAUCUUACCAGAAAGGGACGGCUAACUACGUG
rnacentral:rRNA from 1 species